rnacentral:rRNA from 1 species
AUUGAACGCUGGCGGCAGGCCUAACACAUGCAAGUCGAGCGGAGCGGCGGACGGGUGAGUAAUGCCUAGGAAUCUGCCUGGUAGUGGGGGAUAACGUCCGGAAACGGGCGCUAAUACCGCAUACUAUCAGAUGAGCCUAGGUCUGAUUAGCUAGUUGGUAAGGUAACGGGUUACCAAGGCGACGAUCCCUAGCUGGUCUGAGAGGAUGAUCAGUCACACGGGGACUGAGACACGGCCCAGACUCCUACGGGAGGCAGCAGUGGGGAAUAUUGGACAAUGGGCGGAAGCCUGAUGCAGCCAUGCCGAGUGUAUGAAGAAGGCCUUAGGGUUGUAAAGUACUUUCAGCGGGGAGGCGUUACCCGAAGAAUAAGCACCGGCUAACUCCGUGCCAGCAGCCGCGGUAAUAC